CGUAGGAAUCUGCUCGAGGGAAAGGUUUGCUGAGUGGUUGACCUUUGGACAUUUGGGAGGAAGUUGAGAUAAAAGUAAGGAGGAAUGCAGGAGAGGAGAGGAGAGGAGAGGAGAGGAUAGGGACGGCGGAAAGGAGAGAAGAGAGGAGGAGCAAUGGAGAGAGAAGGGAAGAGAAUAUAAACACACAGAUUAAAUACAAAAAGAAAUAAAAUUAGAGAGGGAGCUUAAAAAAUCCAACUGAGAGGCACUCGAUUUGACUGCAAUUGCUUCAACAAGUUGUCUUAGUCGUCACAAUGAGGCGUUAUGUAUCUAGGAUUACCGACUGGAGCAUGCCCUUCGCCUCCUGGGCGUACUGUGAAGCUGCACCAAAGACCUAUGCAAGUUGCUGUGCUAAGACUAGAGAGGAUCCGUUAAAAGACAAAGACAAACGCAAUCCAGUUUCUGAUAUGUUGAUUGAUGGGUUUGGAAGGAUGCACACUUACUUGAGAAUCUCCUUGACAGAACGCUGUAAUCUACGAUGUCACUAUUGUAUGCCUGCAGAGGGAGUGGAGCUUACUCCUCCUCCCCAGUUACUCUCCCACCAUGAAAUUCUUCGUUUGGCUAAUCUCUUUGUUACUUCUGGAGUCGAUAAGAUUCGUCUCACCGGUGGUGAGCCCACACUUAGAAAAGAUAUUCAAGACAUUUGCUUAAGCUUGUCCGCCUUGAAAGGACUUAAGACUUUGGCAAUCACCACCAAUGGUAUCACUCUUGCCAGAAAACUUCCAAUGCUUAAACAAUGUGGGGUUACUUCUCUCAAUAUCAGCUUAGACACGCUUGUCCCUGCAAAAUUUGAGUUUUUGACUAGGCGUAAGGGCCAUCAGAGGGUCAUGGACUCCAUUAAUGCUGCCAUUGACUUUGGCUACAAUCCUGUAAAAGUCAAUUGUGUUGUUAUGCGUGGAUUUAAUGAUGAUGAGAUGUGUGAUUUUGUCAACCUCACACGUGAUAAACCCAUUAACAUUCGCUUCAUUGAGUUCAUGCCUUUUGAUGGAAAUGUCUGGAAUGUCAAGAAACUUGUGCCAUACUCGGAGAUGUUGGAUACAGUGUCAAAGCAAUUUCCAAGCCUAAAGAAGUUGCAUGAUCAUCCGACAGAGACAGCCAAGAAUUUCAAGAUAGAUGGCUACAUGGGUACUGUUUCUUUCAUUACAUCCAUGACUGAGCAUUUUUGUGCUGGUUGUAAUAGAUUGAGACUUUUAGCUGAUGGCAACUUCAAAGUAUGUCUCUUCGGUCCUUCAGAGGUUAGCUUAAGAGAUCCUCUUCGUUGUGGUGUUGGUGAUGAGGAACUUACAGAAAUAAUUGGAGCAGCGGUUAAGAGGAAGAAAGCUUCACAUGCUGGGAUGUUUGAAAUUUCAAAGACAGCAAAUAGACCUAUGAUACACAUCGGUGGCUAAGGUACUCAGAAUCCUUGUAAUGUAAUAAGAGAUCUGGCAUCUGGAUUGCUUUUGUGUUGGUCACAUUUUCAGUUCUUCCCCAUUAAGCACUAACGUAGAGCCAUGGCAGAACCAACUACCGUAAACACAUAAAAGGGCGUGGACAUGAACUCUACAAGCAGUCAACGAUGCAGGAGGCAUUUCGCCGCCAAAGCAUGAAAAUGGAAUUUCUGUUGAUACUCUGGGCAGAAGAGAUACUUAACUGCUGUACAUUGGGGAUUAAUGGCAGUGUUGUACUAGUAUUUUGGUAUUGCUAUAGUCUCAUUUUUCUUUCUUGUUUUUGAUUCAUUUAUGCUUUUCCAAAGUAAUAAUUCAAGUCGUAUUCUAACACCUAGAUAUUUAAAGAAUUAUACGAUUUUAAGAUAAUUUUCCAUA